rnacentral:rRNA from 11 species
GACUGGGGCGGUCGCCUCCCAAAGAGUAACGGAGGCGUGCGAAGGUGGGCUCAGGCCGGUCGGAAAUCGGUCGUCGAGUGCAAUGGCAUAAGCCUGCCUGACUGCGAGACCGACAGGUCGAGCAGAGACGAAAGUCGGUCAUAGUGAUCCGGUGGUCCCGCAUGGAAGGGCCAUCGCUCAACGGAUAAAAGGUACGCCGGGGAUAACAGGCUGAUACUGCCCAAGAGCUCAUAUCGACGGCA